rnacentral:rRNA from 1 species
UAGAGUUUGAUCCUGGCUCAGAUUGAACGCUGGCGGAAUGCUUUACACAUGCAAGUCGAGCGGCAGCGCGGGGGCAACCCUGGCGGCGAGCGGCGAACGGGUGAGUAAUAUAUCGGAACGUACCCCGUCGUGGGGGAUAACACAGCGAAAGCUGUGCUAAUACCGCAUACGACCUGAGGGUGAAAGCGGGGGACCGUAAGGCCUCGCGCGAUGGGAGCGGCCGAUAUCGGAUUAGCUUGUUGGUGAGGUAAAGGCUCACCAAGGCGACGAUCCGUAGCUGGUCUGAGAGGACGACCAGCCACACUGGAACUGAGACACGGUCCAGACUCCUACGGGAGGCAGCAGUGGGGAAUUUUGGACAAUGGGGGCAACCCUGAUCCAGCCAUUCCGCGUGAGUGAAGAAGGCCUUCGGGUUGUAAAGCUCUUUCAGCAGGAACGAAACGGUGGCCCCUAAUACGGGCUACUAAUGACGGUACCUGAAGAAGAAGCACCGGCUAACUACGUGCCAGCAGCCGCGGUAAUACGUAGGGUGCGAGCGUUAAUCGGAAUUACUGGGCGUAAAGCGUGCGCAGGCGGUUCCAUAAGACAGAUGUGAAAUCCCCGGGCUUAACCUGGGAACUGCGUUUGUGACUGUGGGACUUGAGUGUGGCAGAGGGGGGGUGGAAUUCCACGUGUAGCAGUGAAAUGCGUAGAGAUGUGGAGGAACACCGAUGGCGAAGGCAGCCCCCUGGGUCAACACUGACGCUCAUGCACGAAAGCGUGGGGAGCAAACAGGAUUAGAUACCCUGGUAGUCCACGCCCUAAACGAUGCGAACUAGNUGUUGGGGAAAGGAGACUUUCUUAGUACCGCAGCUAACGCGUGAAGUUCGCC